CAGGAAAGAGAAAAUGCAGGCUUUGGUCCAGCAUGCAAGCGUGUGGGUAGCAUCUCAGGGUGUCAGUCCUCACAGUGACUUCAGCAGACAUCUCCAGAUACUUAGAGUUAAGAGUCUGAGUCUCUUUUAAACGUCUGGUUUGACAAUGCAGCCUGUUUCACCCUUAGCACAAGUUUUCUACUGCUCUCUCAGAGUCCAUAUGUCCUAAGGCCCUUGCGGGGCUCCUUGAUGAUGUAAGUAUUUAGGAUAACACUGUCCAUGCAAAAAAGUUCAGAAGACUGAAAACAACUCAUGUAUUACUCAGAAUAUCCUGUUAACACAGGCAAAUGGUAACCUGUGCAGGGAGUAAGACUUCUCCCAUAGAUGCUGCAGUGGGAUGGGUGUCAGCAAGAGUCUGGCUUCAUGUGGACUCCACCCAUUUCAUCUUUGGGACAUCUCAACCCAUACUACAGAUGCUGUAGCCACUUUCACACUGCUGAGGUGUGAAACACUGCUUGUAAGUGUAACAUCA